rnacentral:rRNA from 1 species
CUCGCUUUCUUUGCUGGCGACCGGCGCACGGGUGAGUAACACGUAUCCAACCUGCCCUUUACUCGGGGAUAGCCUUUCGAAAGAAAGAUUAAUACCCGAUAGCAUAAUGAUUCCGCAUGGUUUCAUUAUUAAAGGAUUCCGGUAAAGGAUGGGGAUGCGUUCCAUUAGGUUGUUGGUGAGGUAACGGCUCACCAAGCCUUCGAUGGAUAGGGGUUCUGAGAGGAAGGUCCCCCACAUUGGAACUGAGACACGGUCCAAACUCCUACGGGAGGCAGCAUG